AAUGGCGAGUCUCAGAGAUCAAAAGCAUUGAAUUCAAUCUCUCAUUCCCCAAAUUCGCUCACGACUUUGUGUUCUGUUCGCUCUCGCUUGCAUGGUGCUGCUUCGCUCCCUUCCGCAGCCGGCGGUGACACGUUCAUGAGGCUUGCAUAUUUAAUUGGUUCAGAUAUAGAAAGAAGUCCUGUCAACAGUGCUUCACUCAGCAUGCUACCUUGGCCUAAGCCCGCAGUUUGGCCUUUAGUUCCACCUGAUGCUUCAUCUGAGGUGUUUGAGAAGGAAAAGGUGAGGUUUUUAAUUUGGUAUUAUUGACAUGUAACUAGGAAAAGGCUUGUAAAUUUGAGCACUGAUAUAAAUUAAAUAAACCAACCUUGUACUGGUUAUUUCGAGGAUACUUCAAUUGAUACUCUGCUUCUUUUGUUAUAAGUGAUUCAACUGGUUUGCUGGUUGUUUAGAAUGAGUCUUAACUGAAGUCAAAUAAAGUUAAUUACAUUUUAGGAUGAAAGAAAAUUUUAUUCAUAACUCAAAAAUCAUUUGAUGGCUCAGUAUGAUGGCCUCAGUGACAUCCUAACAAAGCGGCCAAUUGUAAUUGGGCCAGAACUGAAAGCUACUCUGGAAAACAUGAUCUGGUUUUUUACUUUCUUUGUAAAAAUUAGUUUUUUCAAUAAUGCCUCCUGUGCGCUGAGGAGCUUCAUCAUCAACAUCUUUACUCUGGAUUAUUGGAAGAAAUAACUGAACAACUGUGGGAUAGUCAAAUUUAUUGUUGUCGCAGUUCAAUUACAUACAUUAGUCACCAAUAUGGAUCUUAGAUGAUAUCUAGAGCUGGAGGAUUGUAAGGACCAGGUUGUCAAAAAA